rnacentral:rRNA from 1 species
UACGAAGGGUGCAAACGUUGCUCGGAAUCAUUGGGCGUAAAGCGCACGUAGGCGGCGCAACAGGUCGGACGUGAAAUCCCUCGGCUCAACCGAGGACGUGCAUCCGAAACUGUUGUGCUCGAGUAUGGAAGAGGGUCGCGGAAUUCUCGGUGUAGAGGUGAAAUUCGUAGAUAUCGGGAGGAACACCAGUGGCGAAGGCGGCGACCUGGGCCAAUACUGACGCUGAGGAGCGAAAGCGUGGGGAGCGAACAGG